rnacentral:lncRNA from 1 species
CCAAGGAAUUGCUAAGAUUUAAUGACGCUGGUGUUGAAAUAGUUGUGAAGGCAAGUUUCAACAUUUGGUCAAAGCUGUUAACCUAUCUCUAUGAUAGCACAUCUCCUAAGGCUUUGUUUGGGUACUCUAGUAUUAGCACCUAUCCAGAUGUGUUGAGGUGGAUUUGAGUGUAAAUUAGUUUAAGUUACACCCCAAUCCACCUCAAUACAUGUGGAUUAGGGUCAAUACUAGAGUACCCAAACUAGACCUAAGGGUUAGGGCUUGUUUGGUUAGAAGCGGAUUGAAGGGGAUUGGAGGAGAUUAAAUCUCUUGCUAGUCAAAAUUGAAUAGAAAGUGAUUUAAUCCCUCUCAAUCCGUUCCAAUCCCCGCAACCGAACAAGGUCUAAGUAUUUUCAUAGUGAG